AGGGAAGCAACAUCGCGAGGUGAAGCAAAUCCCAAAAAAGUGUCUCAGUUCAGAUUGUAGGCUGCAACUCGCCUACAUGAAGUCGGAAUUGCUAGUAAUCGCGGAUCAGCAUGCCGCGGUGAAUACGUUCCCGGGCCUUGUACACACCGCCCGUCACACCAUGAGAGCCGGUAACACCCGAAGUCAGUAGCCUAACCGCAAGGGGGGCGCUGCCGAAGGUGGGAUUGGUAAUUGGGGUGAAGUCGUAACAAGGUACC
rnacentral:rRNA from 1 species